rnacentral:rRNA from 1 species
CACGCAGGCGGUUUGUUAAGUCAGAUGUGAAAUCCCCGCGCUUAACGUGGGAACUGCAUUUGAAACUGGCAAGCUAGAGUCUUGUAGAGGGGGGUAGAAUUCCAGGUGUAGCGGUGAAAUGCGUAGAGAUCUGGAGGAAUACCGGUGGCGAAGGUCGGCCCCCUGGACAAAGACUGACGCUCAGGUGCGAAAGCGUGGGGAGCAAACA